UUUUGCCCCAGAUAGCAGUGAAAAGCUUCGAGAUUUAUACAUCUAUUUUUUCUUGAGGUGGCAGAGCGACUAGAGGAAGCUCCUGCUGGCUCAUUAGAAAAAAAGAUUGAUAAACGAGAACUUGUAACGAAUAGCUGGAAUAGGC
rnacentral:sRNA from 1 species